GUCUGGGUUCGGCUGAAGUGAACUCUGGUUCUGGGCAUUCUGGGUAAAUACAACCAUAGCUAACGUGUUAGCUUAGCGCUAGCAGUAGAAAUGGCUCCUGGUCUUUAGCCUAAAGAGAAAUCCUCCAACCGCUAAAAUCUGACGCCUCCAUCUUGUUUCCAUCUG